GAUGAAGAACGCAGCGAAAUGCGAUACGUAGUGUGAAUUGCUGAAUUCAGUGAAUCAUCGAAUCUUUGAACGCACAUUGCACCUCUCGGUAUUCCGGGAGGUAUGCCUGUUCGAGCGUCAUUUGUACCCUCAAGCUCUGCUUGGUGUUGGGUGUUUGUUCCGCCUCUGUGUGUGAACUCGCCUCAAAACAAUUGGCAGCCGGCGUACUUGUUUCGGAGCGCAGCACAUUUUGCGAUCCAGAUCAACGUACAGCGGCAUCCAAGAAGCCUUAUUUAACGCUCUUGACCUCGGAUCAGGUAGGGAUACCCGCUGAACUUAAGCAUAUCAAUAAGCGGAGGA
rnacentral:misc_RNA from 1 species